CGCUCGCCGCCGCCACGUCCGCCACCGCAGGCGGCGUACGUGAAGCUCGCGCUGCACGCGCUCAAGCACCAGGCGGCGGCUGUCAACGGGCUCCUCGUCGUCCGCCUGGCGGACCCCGCCGCCUCCCCGGCCGUCGUCUCGAUCGCUGACGCCGUGCCGCUCUCCCACCAGCCGCACCACCUCCCGCUGCUCCCCACGCUCGAGCUCGCGCUCACCCUCGUCGAGGACCACUUCCAGGCGCAGGGCCUCGCCGUCGUCGGAUACUACCACGCCAACGCACGCCGCAACGACGCUGACCUCCCCGCCGUCACCAAGCGCGUCGGGGACCACAUCUUUCGCUACUUCCCCCGCGCCGCCAUGCUGCUGCUGGACAACGUGAAGCUCGAGGAGGUGGUGAAGGGGAGCAUCCGCGAUGCAGUUGUUCAGGUACUCGCCCAUGAUCUAUGGAAAUCAGUAUCCCUUCAUUGCUUUCAAAUU
rnacentral:rRNA from 1 species